rnacentral:rRNA from 1 species
UACGUAGGGGGCAAGCGUUGUCCGGAAUCAUUGGGCGUAAAGCGCGUGUAGGCGGCUCGGCAAGUCUGGUGUGAAAACUGGAGGCUCAACCUCCAGCUGUCGCCGGAUACUGCCGGGCUUGAGUCCGGAAGAGGAGAGUGGAAUUCCUGGUGUAGCGGUGGAAUGCGCAGAUAUCAGGAGGAACACCAAUAGCGAAGGCAGCUCUCUGGUACGUGACUGACGCUGAGACGCGAAAGCGUGGGGAGCGAACAGG